rnacentral:sRNA from 1 species
CGUGACCGACGCCGCGGAGCUUUGGAGCACCUGCUUCACACCGGACAGCCUGGCGGCCCUCAAAGCCCGUUUUGGCCUGAGUGCGGCUGAGGACAUCACCCCCCGGUUCAGGUGAGACCCAAGCAGGGAGGAAGGACGGGUGGGGAGGAGGAGGGUCUGCCACAGCUCUCCGCACCUCUCCUCUCCCAGGGCAGCCUGUGAGCAGCAAGCUGUGGCUCUGACUCUGCAGGAGGACAGAGCAUCCCUGACGCUUUCAGGGGGGCCCUCGGCACUGGCCUUUGACCUCUCCAAGGUACCAGGCCCAGAGGCAGCCCCCAGGCUGCAGGCGCUGACACUGGGCCUGGCAAAACGCGUGUGGAGCCUGGAGCGGCGACUGGCAGCUGCAGAAGAGACAGCUGUCAGCCCGAGGAAGAGCCCCGGGCCUGCAGGGCCUCAGCUCUUCUUACCAGACCCAGAUCCCCAGAGAGGUGGCCCUGGACCUGGAGUCAGGAGGCGGUGUCCAGGAGAGUCGCUCAUCAACCCCGGGUUCAAGAGUAAGAAACCAGCUGGUGGCGUGGACUUCGAUGAGACCUGAAGGUGCAGCACAAGCGUGGCCCCGCGGGGAGUCCGCCUGUGAGGGGAGAGGCAGUCUUUGAGGCCCCCAUCAGAGACCCCCCGCCACCACCUCCACCUGCCUGUCCUGGGCCAGGACUAAGACGGCUCCUCAAAUUCCUUCCCUGUCAAAUAAACAGCUCCCUUGGUUGG